AAAUAUUUCGUCGUAAAGAACUCGCGAAAUUUACGUGGCUUUUACGAGGAAAUAGUUUUUCCUCGUAAAAGCCACGUCAAUUUACAUCGUCUUUACGACGAAUACGUUUUGUCGUGACCUUACGACGAAAUAACGAUGCUUUUCUUUUUCCACGUACUUUCCUCGCAAAAUCAACGUUUUUUUACAAGGAUUGUUUUUCCUCGUUAAAUUUCCUCGUUAAGGUUACGGUUUCUUGUAGUGUUUGAGUCAUAUUCGCAAAAAAAAAACCCCUUAAAUAAGUCAGUUUAAUUAAGAAUAUUAUAAAACCAAAACAUUUGAAUUAAAAUAAAUAUUAAAAAUAUAAUAUUAUUUAUCAGAGAAUAGUGAAAUUUACUGUCAUUAUAAUUUAAAACAAAAAAAUAAUUAUAAUGAUCUCAUAAGUCUUUCAUUAUUUUUUCGUUUAUAAUAUUUUUUAAUAUAUCAUAAUUUUAAAUUACUUCAUAAAUUAUUAUAAAAUCACUCUUAUUAUAACUUCCCGCCCAUAGGGCAGGCCGGUCCUAGUAAAAAAUAAAAAAAACAUGUCUAAAAGAUGUUGAAUGAGCUUCUAAAAACAAAAUUGUAAAAACAAAAUAAUAUUUUUACAUUGUAUUUAUUAUUUAUUUAUAAAAUUAUGAUCGUUAUAGUUACUCAUUGUUAAAUUUAAGGAUUAAAAUACAAAAUAUAAAAGAUUGAACAUAUAUUUGAGUUUGGCCAUAGGAAUAAUCCAUUUCCAAACGUUCAUUUUAAGGAUAAGCUGACUUCCAAAUGUAGAUGUUUGUUGUAGAUGAUCUUAGACUAUUAAUUUUGUAAUAGUAUAUUAACUUAUGUGUAAUUCAGUCGACUAAAUGAAUUUUUUUAUAUAUAUAUGUUGAAAACUGCGUAGAUUUUUUUAAUAGUGAAUAUGUAACUAGUCAAAUUAGUAUUUUGUUUUGAUGACCCUGGUAUCCGAAGCCUCAGAAGAUCCGAGUAGCGCUAAUGACUGUCCACCGGAGUUUAGCCGGGGAGCCCGCCGAGGUAUUCAGGAGGACUGGUGAUCACCCAUGUAAAUCUCACUAGUGACCACUCGUUAGCAAGCUUCUCCGUAUUGGACCUGAAGGUCCCUCAAGAUAAUCACCUCUCAGCAGCACUCGAAUCUAUGACUUUCCAGAUUGAGUUUAACCACUGGACCACUAACACGUGGUUAUCAAAUUUUUGCAUAAGCAUGCUUUGAUAUCAUGUGAUAUAUUAUUAGUUAAGUGGUGUUGAUGAAUAUAUGUUUAGUUGUCGUGGGAAAUAUUCUAUUUUUCCUCGAUCUUCAUAAUUAUCCUUGAAACUUGACAUUUAUCUUUGGAAACUUGACACUUAUCUUCUCCUGCAAAAAAAAAAGUAAACCGUCAUAGUAUCCAUGGGCUCAUUCCCAUAUAAAAUCGUAAGUGAGUUUUUAGCCGUGUUUUAGACUUCGUUGGACCGUCUUUCGACUUUAUGCGUUUUAACGAUUUCUUCAAGAAAUUUACCCCGAUAUGAUGCCGGUUUAAUAAUAGUCUUAAUCAAUCGUAUUUCCAAGGCAGUUGGUGCUUUAGGUUAACUGUCACCAUUUUAUACAAACGAUCUGAACUUAUACGAUAAAAACAAAUCUUCGAGGUUUUUAUCGUAAAAUUUUAACGAUAACUCCAAUCGAAGCGGAAUGAGAGACAGUACAGUCUUGGUUUGUAAGGGAGAGAAAACGAGGAUAAGACGAGAAUGCAUGAGUUUGUAACGUCUCGGUCGCCGUUUGACGAUCCGAGUUUGGGACAAACCGGUCGCCAUAUGGCGACCCAGUCUGAUAACGAGCUGGUCGUCAUAUGGCGACCCAGUUUCGCAGCGGACCGAUUGCCAUAUGGUCACCCAAUCGAGUAACGGGCCGGUCGCCAUAUGGCGACUGGGUUGUGUAGCCGACCUGUCGCCAUAUGUAACCGGUCGGUCACCAUAUGGCGUACGUCCUGGUUGCGUAGCCGACCGGUCGCCAUAUGGCAACCAGGUUGUGUAACCAACCUGUCGCCAUAUGUAACCGGCCGGUCGCCAUAUGGCGUCCGGUUUGCGUAGCCGACCUGUCGCCAUAUGGCGACCGGAUUGAGUGGUCGACCGGUCACCAUUUGGCGAUCGGUUUGUAUAACCGAUCAGUUGCCGUAUGAUGUCUUGGUCGUUCUUUUGAGUUUGUUUCUGACAGCUAGUGUCGACUUCCGAAGUUGUGGAAAAAAUUAUUCCAAAAUUUAUAGUAAAAAUUCUUUGUUGAAAAUUAUACGAAAGUAAUUUUUCCGAAAAGUAUUCUCCGGAGACUUUCAUGCGUAGAUUCCGUUACGAUCGGUUUUGACCCCAACAGUUGUAUAUGUGAUAAAAUAUACUGCAUUAUAUUAUUCAUAAUUAUAAAAAUCAUAAGUGUCAGAAAAUAUUUGAAUCCUAUGACAACCAAUGUACUCUAAAGCCGAUACAGAUUAAUCCAAUAACCUCUCCCCCCACUUUGGAUCCUAUGACAACCAAUGUACUCUAAAGCCAACACAGAUAGAACAGAUUAUCUAAAUCUAAUGAUCCAAUAACCCCCUCCCCCUUCCCUUACUUUGUGUAUUGUAAGUAGGACUCUAAAGUCUAAAGGGCAUGUGCAAUGUUUGAAUGUUUAGAGUCAACGUACGGUGAGAUUUGUGUUGACUAAUGUGAUGAAGCAUUGAAUAUAGACUCAUGUUGCAAAGUGCACCAACCCGAGACUUUUAACCAUCGGAUACCAAAGUUUUGUCAAUGUAAAUUAAAGAUAAAAGUCUGUCACAUAUUUGAAACAAAACCAGUGAUGUGAUAUAGUAAAUGUUUGAUGUAUUUACUUACUCUGAUUAAUUCGCCAUUCAAGUUUUUUACUGCACCAUUAAUUUGCAAUGGCUAUACCGAUCAUACUAAACAGUACCAACUACUACAUUUUAAACUAACUACAUUUAUUCUACGAUACUUUUUAUGAUUAGGAACAAAACUGCUAAACCAGAUUGUCUUAUUAUUGUACUUUCUAAGCGAAUUCUUUUUUUGGCUGAUUUAGAACCCUAUAUUAGGAUUCUCAUAGGGUUGAAUGGUUACAUGAUAUCUUAUAUUAUAUAAUAAAGUAGAGUUUAGUCUCUCCACAAUCAUCCACCUCAGCAAGAAGCAUAGGGCAUUUUUUGACAGCUGUCACCUCCCAAUUCAGUUUCUUUUCGUACACAGAUUUUUAAUGGCCAAUCCAUUUGUUCAAGUUUAUUGCAAAUCAUGUAUAUUAUCGGGCCUUUUAUGUUGUGAUUUUGUUCAAGCCCAAUGUGUAUAGAGUUUCGAUAUUUUUUAGUCUUCUCUUUAGAUCAAUGAAUCUACCAAUAAAUACAGCUUUACCGUAUGCGCUUCUCAUUUCCCUUUAGUCGACCACGUUACUUUUUGCAAUUAUUAUGCCAAUAACUCAAGCAUUCCCACUAACCCACUACAUGUUCUUCAAUGCAGUUUUCGUUCGAGAACGAUCUGAGAACCCGUAAAAUCAUUUUCUUCUGCAUUCGUAGCUCGUGUUCUUACCGAUAAAAAUGACAAAUUAUCUGAAUUGAAGGCAAGAUGGUGUAGACAAGUAGUGCUAACCCGGCUUCUACGAUUUUGGGAGGCCCUGAGUAUUAAGAAAGAUGGUAAGUUUAUGGGCGUCGAUAUGCUGUUGAUUGAUGGAAAGUUAACGCUAAUCCAAGCAUCGAUCAAUGUACACCGGCUUAACUCCUUCAGACAGACGCUGAGAGACGAAGUCUCUCUCUCUCUGUGAGCCCAUCGUUUUUGAUUUGACAAGAAGCAGCACCAACUUCAGGUUUUGUGACGGUUCUAUUGCUAUAAGAUUCAUCGGACAAACCCUGUUUGUUUAGAUUGCUGAAACGGCCGAGUCUAUCCCGGUGAAGAGGUUCUGUUUCGCAGCUUUGAGCAACUAAUGUCAUUGUCCAACAUAAACACCAUACUCAGUGAAGAAAUAAAAAGAAUUCAAUGCAUUAUGGAAACGUCCAGAACUGAAAGGGAAGCUAGCAUAUGCCUUAGUGUUUUUGAAGGCCUCCUUGAUGAAAAACUGGGGGCCACUAGAGUUGAACCAAAAGUGGUUGUGGUAACCAAUAUCAACCCAAAGUUAGUUGGAGGCAGCCUCUUCCUCAAUGAAACCUCCGGUAUUCAUUUUUGUUUUGACAAUAGUACCUCAACAAAGUGUCUGACAGUGAUAUAGGCUCAAGCUCUAAUGAUACAAUAUGGGAUGGUGUGAGGAAGAUAGAGUCAAUACCUUUGGCUGAGCUUAAUUCCUUUGGUUUCAACGCAUCCCUACAGACCAUUGAGUUCAUAUGCACUGGGGGUAUUAGGUGGCAUUGAUACAGUCGAUGAAUGGUGCUAUAUUGCAUGCUCGAAGUGUUCUCGCAUACUGCAACGUGGCUUCUCCUCCUUCACUCCGCUUCACGUAAUAAGGAGAACGCAGUUGGGAUUGUGAGCGAUAGGUACCGUGUCCAGAUGACCGACUCUGAUGCAUCUGACUCAGCCGAGUUUGUAGCUUCUGAAACUAAAAAAUCUACGUUGACAAAUAUCGGGCCUGUAGAGGUCUCCCAAGAAAUGAACGUAGGACUCCAGGAACACAAGAGUUGGGCCCUUCCACAAUGCAUUGAAGAUAUUGUUCAAAGACAUCUCGCUUGAAAUCUUCAAAAUAUGGCAACCAUCAGAGAACAUGAUUCUGAUAAGGUGGAAUUUCAAGGGUGUGUCUAGAGUUCCAUGGGAAGCUAGCGGAGGAUAUCAAGGCACUUCUCCAUAUAAAUUCAUAGCUCUGCUCAAGUUUGUAAUACACUUGGAAUGAUUUUUCUUCAAGAGUCAGAACGUUUCAGAGUUCCAGUUAGGGUCUUUAUUUCUUAAUAAUUGCUAUUUGAACAUAUAUACACAAUUAUUUUUUAUGAUCUCUGUUGCAAAGUCUGGGUACUUGGUUGCAUCUUCCUUAAUGUGGUCUUCUGGGGUUCUGUUUAUUUAGAUCGAAACAGAGAAGUGCAGGCUUAGUAGACCUUACAGUGUGACAAUACGUUUUUUUAUAAAUUAAAUUCUGACAAUGUCAAUGUUUAGGCCUAUGCCACGGUGAUGCCUCCUCUUCUGACUGUUGUACUUGUCUGGCACAUGUGGUAGAGAACGCAUUGUUCGAGCUUUAGGAAAAAAAAUCUGUGCACUAGGAGAAGUUGAAUGACUAAGGCCAAUAGAGGAAGUGAAACAAUGCGUUAAGUGAGGCGUAUAAAUACACUAAUUGUCUAAGAAUGGAUAUUCUAUAUUUUAGAGGGGUUUCUUGGUUAGAAAAAAAUGUUGAGGUUGACAUCAAUUUUAUAAUGCUCGAUGACCGUUGCUUUAAGGUAUUUGCUUUAGGGUAAUGUUUAAGUUAUUUAUUUAAUAAUUAUUAGAAUAGUUAAAGUUUUCAAUUUUGUAUUUCUACCUUGAAACAAUAUUUAACGGAUGGAAAAAGAUGUUCAGUUUUGCAGUAAUAAAUUUGGACAUAUUUAAAGCUUAGGGAUGGUUUUUUCUUUUCUUUCACAAAAGAGUGAUAGUUCGUUUAGCUUAUUAGCUUUAUUAAAAUUGUAGCUAACGCAAAAUGUCGAAACAUGAUUUUCUUGGAGUUUUCCAUCUUUUUGAAUAACUACUCCAAAUUUCAGCUUCUAUAAUAUAAAAAAUGUUGAGGUUGACAAUCAAUUUUAUAAUGCUCGAUGACCGUUGCUUUAAGGUAUUUGCUAUAGGGUAAUGUUUAAGUUAUUUAUUUAAUAAUUAUUAGAAUAGUUAAAGUUUUCAAUUUUGUAUUUUUACCUUGAAACAAUAUUUAACGUAUGGAAAAAGAUGUUCAGUUUUGCAGAAAUAAAUUUGGACAUAUUUAAAGCUCAGGGAUGGUUUUUUCUUUUCUUUCACAAAAGAGUGAUAGUCCGUUUAGCUUAUUAGCUUUAUUAAAAUUGUAGCUAACGCAAAAUGUCGAAACAUGAUUUUCUUGGAGUUUUCCAUCUGUUUGAAUAACUACUCCAAAUUUCAGCUUCUAUAAUAUAAUAUAGAAAACUCAAUUACAUUGCAAUGCAUAAAAUAUAUUGUAAUCAUUUAAAAAAAAAACAAAAUGCGUGAAGAAGGACGACUAUAUCUUCCUCUCAUUUAAUAUGUUUCUCAUACUAUUUUAUGUGUGAUAAAAUAUAGUAUUAUUUUUAUAAAAUAAAUAAAUAGCAGUGGUACCCUUUGCAAUCUAAAAAACCAAAGUUCGAAACUCCAACAAAAAAAAAAUUAAAUCCAAAAUAAUCUUACACCGGAUUCAGUCAUCAAUCAGAAGUGUACACCGGAUUAACAAAUAAUGGAACUAGCGAACACGGCUCAUUUACCAGAUAUUGUUGGGAACGUAAGGGGCAUUAGGACUACUUACAAUGAAGCAACUAAGAGUACACAACCCAUGAUGAUCACCAUUAGCAUAACAAGGUAUAAGCUAAUAAUGUACCUUUAUUUUCUCUUAAAGUAAUGUUUACGGGAGGUUUCAAAACCUCUAUAAGUCUUAAAUAUUUCUUUGCUGUCUUCUCAAUAGAGUAUGCCCAAGUGUUUUUGACGAAAUGUCUAAGAAUCUUGAUGAAACCUGCUGCAUAAAAGUGAUGUACUUAAGAUCACUCCAUGGAAAAUGGCGACUGUGUGGGAAAUGAUGAUGUUGAAGGUGGAGAAGGUGAGACCACAGCGUCAAGUCACACCUCUGUUGAUGGAAGGGAGACAGACGAGAAGGAAACUGUGAAGGAAGAUGGGUGUUCCCGAAAAUAGGCACAGUGUGAGUAACAUCCAAAGCACAAGGGGAGAUUAAGUUACAGGACAUGAGUGCGUUUAAGUUGCAUUAGUUUUUAAAUUACUUUUCCGAACAGUAUGAAUUCUGAGUACUUCCAACCUUAUAGCUAUUUUGUUCUGUUUUUCUUUUUCCCCCUUCAAAAUGUUAACCUCGACAGUCAUUUUGGACUAAGCAAAUAAUAAGAUCCUGAUUCUCAACCCUUUUCCAAUUACUAACAACGCGCAAUUAAAUAUUAAGCAUUAAGUGUAGAAUAUGGAUUAACGCGAUCUGCAUAUGCAUGACAAUUGACAUGCUACAUAUAAACUACAUUAGGAGUACCAGAAAGGCACGUGGCAUCCUCCUUGGAUAAUUUACACUCACUUCAUAGCUACGCACACACAAAAAAAAAAUCCACAUACAAUUGAUUAAUAAAUACUUUAAUCCUCUAACAAAGUUGUUCCACCACUCUUAUAUAUUCGUAAAUAAUUAGAAAAAUUGUUCGUAGAUGUUUUGUUCAAGUAAUUAUAUACAAACAAAACAGCUUGCCUAUUAUUGUUAAUAAUUGUGCCAGGCGUUAUAAAUGAUUAGAACAGAUUAACCCAUUGAACAAAAAGGUUUCAAAUAACAACAGAGGUUGAAGAUAUUCUCAACACCUGCUCUCUCACAAAUAAACGAUUGAAGCUUAUGAGCGUUAAAAUUUUCACAAAUACGUGGUUCUCUACUUUUUCUGCGUAGGAACUCCUCUAAUCAUUACCAAAUGGCAAAGAAAAAAACCUCGACGUCAGGAAAACAGUAUCUUAUGCUCGACUCAAUUCAAGCUUUGAGAGGAUCUUCCACCAUCAAUCCCCAACCGUUCCUAUGUGAGCUAUCCUGCUAAGCAAGCAACUUAGAUCAUAACUGAUUUUUUCCUCCCUAACAAAUAUCACAACACACGUGUUGAUGGAGACAACCAUGGUUAAACAAGCCGGUUACAUCCUACAAACUCUCAAGCAACUCAUUAACUACCCAACCAGAACCCCAUAACUACGCGACAAAAUAUACACAAUCAGGGGCGGAUGCAGAAGUAGAUUUAAUAGGGGGCACAACAAAGUUUUCAUUGUAUUUUUUCUUUCAGUUGGGGGCACCCUGUAUAUACUUACAGCAUUUGUUAAAGAAAAUUUAAAAAUUAGUUGGGGCAUGCACUCCGUCCGCCCCUGUACACAAUCACUCUCACAUAACCAAGUUUCACAAACCUAUAUCGACAAGUUACUUGCUAAACAAUAAAUACCAAAUCAUAUAGAAAGUUAUAUAAACAUUCCUCCCAUCACACCAUAUUAAAUCUAUUAACUAAAAAUAUCGUCACCGCAGGACAAAGACAAACAAACACACAUUGAUUCACUAUAGAACAAAACAACCGAGCUCUACCAUAAUAUCCAAUAUCAAGUAAAAAAAACAAGACACACAUAAUGGUCAAUACACAACAAUUAAACUACUUCAAAACAAAUAUUAAACAUUCGAGUUUUCAAGUGUUUAUAAAACUAAAAUAAUUUUAAUAUAAAAUAAAUUUAUUGUAAACUCACCCGCCCGUAGGGCGGGCCAACCCCUAGUAAUUUAUAUAAACUUAAUGAAGUCUAUGAAUACAAAUAAAUACGGUGGCAUUGUUGAUAUCUCCAAACAAACAUACGAGCAUACACAUGUCAGGUACAUGUCAAGAAGAUAAGUCUUUUUUUUUAUGUUAGACCAUAAUAAAAAUAAAAUACGUUGUUAUCCACUUCUGUAAAAAUUAAUUGGUACAUAUCUAAGAUUUUUAUGUUUUUUGUUCAUUUUCACUGUUAGUGGUUCGCUCAUUCAUAUAUUUAUAUAUAAGAUUUCUUUUAUUUAUUUUGUUCCUUUGUAUAUUUCUUAUAUAAGUGUAGUAGAAAAAGAGUUAUUUGCUCGAAUCCAUCAUUAAACUUUUUCUAUAUUUCACUUUAAAAUAAAAUAACUCUAUGAUAAAGUUGGAUUUGUUUCAAUGAUUUACUCUAUAAUAAAACGAAAUAUAAAAAUAUUGUUUUUACACUCUAUUUUAUUUAUAUUUCACUCUAUAAUAAAGUAACUCUAUUAAUAGAUUUAUUCUAUUUUAGAGUAAAAUAUAGAAAGAAUUAUUAAACAUUAUUGGAGAUGCUCUACCUAUUCUAAUACCUAUUCUAAUGGUAGAGAUUUUUUUGUGCGACAAAAGUCCAAUAUUAUAAUAAGAUCAGGUGAGUAUGCAGUCUGCAUAAUGCAGAGUUGCUUUCCAUCAAAUCAAAAUCGAUAAUUUCUUAAAUUGAAAGUAAAGAAAUUUUAUGUGAUAGAAAGAAAAGGAGAAAAAAAAGGGAGAUUGCAUAUUAUCUAGAACAUGAAAGGGAAUUUAUAAAAGACCAUAUAUAUGAAUUAUAUGAAACAGAAAACAAAGUAGACAUGAUCACUAAGUGAAACUGAAAGGUUGAGAAAUGGUCCACGUUCCCCCCCCCCCCCCCCCCCCCAAAACAUUUGUUUUCAUAACCAUUGGCUCGCCGUUGAGCCCACCUGAGGGGCUGAGACCAACCCGACCCAAUUGGAUCCAACCAAAAAUUGUCUACUCCUCUUGAACACUUUGCUUAUUUUGGCAGCUAUCUAUAAUACUAACAGGAAGCUGUCCAAUCCCGUUAGGGUUUGGUUAUGAUGACGGACCUGUAUGACAUAUCAGAUUUUUCGGAUCCUUUUAGACAAUAUAGAUGGUCCAUUCCGACAAACAGCAUCGGUGAUGUUUGCUGACAAGUACCGAACUACUUUCUUUAGACCAAAAACAAAAACAAUCAAACUGCCUUGUUUUCUACAGAAAUUGAUUAUCAAAGGUGCAAGGGUAAAAUAUAAAGUUGUUCUUUAUCAAAUUAAAAUUAAAUAAAAUAUAAAGUUGUUUUCCUUUAUGCAUAAAAUAGUCAUAAAAUAGUAUUUUCUCUAAUUUCUUCCGAAUUUAAUCACGAAGUUUGGAAUCACAUCACGUAUAGAGUUUCGUGGAGUUUGGACUAACCAUCUAACCCUUAAAUACCACAUAUCUAGUCUUGUUGCCGAUUUAUCGAUAAAUUUUAAAAUGACCAAAAUCAUAUACGAUCGCUAAGAUCUGUUAAUCAAAACCUAGAGAUAUGGUCGUAUGCCUAUUAAAGGUAGCUUCGUUUAACCGGAGCUUGUGACCCAGUGGUGAUCAACUUGAGGACGAAGCCUAAUAUGGUGAACUCACCUGGAUUCGAGUCUCAACCAUUAGGAAUUACAAUUUCGGCAUCGCCAAGAACAGGAAACCGAGACGUGGACCAAUAACGUACUCUGCUAACACAUGGCUAGUCUGGACUCACUUCAGUGGGAGCUAAGAUACCCUUGUAUAAUUCCAAAAAAAGUAGCUUCGUUUGAGAGAUUGUUGUGGGCUUGCUCAAAGAAUAAAAUACAGUUACAAUGCAGUAUACGUCAACAUACAACAGUAAUAAUUUUUCUGCAAUACCCAUUUGUAUUUUUUUUAAAUAAACCCAAUCUUUGAAAUCUCUACUUUAUUAAUACUAAAAAACCAUCUCCAACACCAAAAAUCCAAUAUGUAAAAUAAAAUACAAAUUGCCGACAAAAAUAUCAAAUAAAUAUCAAUAAAAUCAUAAAAGCGAUUCUGGAAAAAGAGAAAAGAUGCUUAAGAACACACAUAUGUUCGAUCGGUCACCUACUCGUGAGUUUCACCUGAAGGAGAAAGAAUAUUGUUUAUUUGUUAUGAAAAUUGCAAAGAAAAAUCAUGCUCGCAAAAUUGUGAAAGAUCUGUAAUAGAAUUGCGAGGAAAAGUAUUUUCCUCGCAAAACCCACAAAAAUUUGAGAGAGAAAUAUUCUCUUACAAAUUUGUGUGGGAUUUGUGAAAAUAGCGUAUUAAUCAUGGUGCUUUGUAAUUUUCUCGCAAAUUUGUAAUGGAUUUUGCGACUCAUGCCUAGUCCCUUGUAAUUUCCUUGCAAAUCCAUAUUUCCGGGACUUGAAUGGUUUGGGGUAUCGUUAAGAAUUUUGGUCAGAUAACAAAUCUAGUAGAAACAUAUAGUGUUUAAUAUGUACGUCAAUAACUAUUUACGAAGUUAAUCAACUACGGUUGGGAACGCAAUUCCUGACACUUGAACUAAUAUUGGAAGUACUUAGCAUCAAAACCGGUCGAUCUAUACAAUCAAUAUACAUCAACUAAAUUGCUGAAAAGUUUUAAAGUAUUUUGGUAUUGAUAACAAAUUGAAUAUGAUAAUUUAGUGUUUAACAUGUACGUCGAUAACUAUUUUUCAACGCAUACCGAAAGAUUUUUUGAAAUCUCCAUCCCAAUUGAAUCAACAGAGAAUAUCAUACAUUUUGAUGCAAAUAACAGAGACACAGAGGACAUUGUUGAUGAUUCAACUGAACGCUCUAUUUCAGAAAAUGCCGAAAUUGAUGUUGAAACCGACAAAGAGGACACACAUGAUGAACACCAAUAUGAUAACCACACAAUAUUUAAGAAAAACAAGUAAAAAAAAAUCUAACCAAAUUUUAUGGAUUACCGUGCAAAAAUGCAUUACUAGUUACAUUAUUCUAUCUAUAUAUUAAACUCCAUCUUAAAUAGAAAUUUCAACUAUCAAACAAGUAAAUCUAAAAGUAAAAACUCUGAUAAACGUGUCUUUAUCGUAAGAAUAUCACGAAGAAUGAUUCGCUAUCUUUUGCAUAAUCCUGAUUGCUUUAUUUCCUCUUCAGGAUUGUAUGUGUUUAUACAAGUUUCCCUUUGUUCAUGAUUAGCAUUACAAUCACAUCAUGAUAUCCAAGUGAUAUUGUUGUUACAUUUUUUUGUUUAUAUAGUUGUCGAUGGCCAAGAUCUUAAAGCCGGUAACCAUCCUAGGCCAUUUUGCUCACCAAUCUCUUGCGACGCUAAAGACAAAAAUCACAGUUGUGCAAUCUGUCACCGUGGAAAAAUGAAAUUUUUUUUCAAGAGCAGAGAAGAAUGUGCUUCUGCGUGCAAAUAAUAAGUUAUCUCGAAACGUGCAAAUAGCACUAAAUAAUUUUUUUAUCGAAUAUCUAAUUAUCUGCUUCCGAUUUUUUUACUAUAAUAACAUAAGCUUAUUUUGAGUGCAACCAAUAAAAUUUAUGCUUUUUGUAUCUGUGUUUAGAGACUUCCCUAGUCUACGUAACCGUGGAAGCUUCUUUGGUCCAGUGGUUUAACUAAGGGUUCAUUAAUGCUUCUACACCAGGAGGUCUGGGUUUCGAUUCCCGGAGAAGACGGAAUUAUACAAAUUAAUGGAGAAAAGACUUACAAGAGAUCUGCAGCAUGACGUAAGGAGUACCUUCAAGCGUGGAUCCGAUAGGACGGCUCAGGUGAUGCAGUUAUACGUGAAUCCUAAUAAGGCAUGUAGAAUUGUCGGCUGUAGAAUCGUGUGUAAUAUUUCUCAUAGUUUAUAAUAACAUAAUUAUCCAGCGUUAAAAAAAAAGUCUAUGUAACCUAUUUUCUCUCUUUUAGUUUUGUUUUGCUAUUAAUGUUUUUAUUCUUAAUAGUUUGUUAUGGUAAAUCGUAAGUUUUUCUAUUUUCUUCUCACCAUAUGACUAGCCCUUGUGAGUAAGGAAAAAAAACAUAAAUCAAAGAGGAAACAUAGAGAUUUUCUUAUCAGUCUACCCAAUCACUAAAAAAAAACUUAUAUUAGUUUCAUUUAUGUACUUUUAUUUCUACACAAUCACGUUGAAAAUCGUAGUCAAAUCGGAAUGUAGAAUUUUUUAAAAGUACAAAUAUAGAUAAAAAUGGUAAAUCUUAUACUCACCUUUUUGUGCUUAAUCCUUUUGAUAUGUUAUCUAACUUUUAUGACAUUAUUUUCUGCAAUGAACUAUUUUCUAUAAUUCUAAAGUAAUAGUAUUUGAAUAAUUGCAACUAGUUAUUGUUUUCCAACAGAAAGAACUUUAUUAUUUUGAACUAGUAGUUGGUCAAGAGAAUCAAAUCGAUGGUGUUGAAUCAAUGUAAGCAAUAGCAGCAAGAAAAUUUCAAGAAUCUGUUGAAAUCUUAUCCGCUAUUGUCUUUUUGUUAUUAGGAUCUGUCAAAUUACAAAAUUGGGGAAUAAAUUCUUUCAUUGUUGCAAUUCGUCUAAGAUGGUUUUUCAUCAAUAUAGACACCAUCUUCACCAAUUAAUAAUAUAUUGUGGACCGACCUUUAAAAUAUGUAGAAUCUUCAUUCAUUCCAUUGCCAAAAUAAAUGCUUCACAUUUGGCUUGCAAAGGUGAUAGGUUUCGUCGCAUAUUCAUAGCCUAGUAACUUAUUCAUUUGAGCCUCCCAAAAUGUAAACAUAUAUCUUUUUGAAAUAAAAUUUUAUUACAAAUAAUGAUCUUUUAGAAGCAGAAGAAAUAAUCUUUUUGUUUUCAUAAUGUUUACAUGUUUUAGGAUACAAUUCUAUUAUUAUUUUUCUAGUCGCAGCAUUGUUGAUUUUUUUUUAUGUUCUUACGUUAGCUAAUAGUUUACGAGCCAUCGGGGCCUGUGAUCCCACUCAAAUGGAAAACUCCACCUUGGAACAUGUUAAAAUGCAACAUUGGUGCCUCAUGGAGGAAUGAUUCGAGGACGGGAGGUGCGUCUUGGAUUAUUCUCGACUCUCUGGCGCCUAAAGCCUUGCGUUGUAUUCCUUCCGUUCAUAAGAAAUGUGAUUUUGACAUUUUUCACACAAAUUAAAAAAAUGAUUAAAAUACAUUUAAGUUAUUAUUUAUUAUAUAUAUUCAACAAAUAGUAUUUGAGACAAAUGAAAUUAUUUAUAAAUCAAUGUAUUUACAAUUAAUAUUGAAUUGAAAGUUGCAUUGAAAUUCUAAAAUGACACUCUUUUGUAAUUAAAAAAAAUGUUAAAAAUGCUAUUUAAUAUAAAACAGAGAGAAUAUAUUUUAGCAUAUGAACUAUGCUAUAAGGGGUUAGAUAUGCGUCUGUGUGUUUAGCUUUAGAUUUAUGUUAGGUAGUAUACUAGAAUGGGGUUUUACUGAGGGGAAGAUUAUGUAUAUGGCGCAAAUUCAUUGUUUCAUUAGUAGAUUAGCUAUUUUAUUUUUAAUUAUUGACUAAAUUUUGAUAUCUAUUCUCUCAUCUUUUUUAUUGAAAACUUUGUUUACAUAUAGACCAUUACUAAAAUUUCAAACUCAUCAAAAAAUUAAAUUUCGAUCUUGUUAUAAAAUAGAUUUAAUUUAUAUCACUUGAAAGAACAUAACUUUUUCUUUGACAUAUUUAUUUCUGCCUAUGUAUCCAGAAUUUUUUUUUCUGAAAUUUUUUAAAAUAAAUUUAAUAUCUAUAACAAGAAACAACAUAUUUUUUCUUUGAUACUUGGAAGAGAAACAAUCUUUCUUUGACAAAUGAAGAAGACUGUUGCUCUUUCACUCUUUGUGCGUGUCUAAUUCUCUUUUCCAUUAAAACAUCAAAUUUUGGAAUGACAAUCGCGAAGGAGAGAAAAGAGCUAAAACCACUGACGUUCUGUUCACACUUAGUUGACCAAAUUCUUUUGUAGCUCAAAUGGUUUGAAACUACUAAAUUUCCUGUUUUAAUGUUUUUUAAGAGAUUCGUUAGUGAGAUCACAAAUAUCUAUAAAGAAAUAGUUUAUUUAGUUAUUUGUUAUUCAUUUAAUAUAAACUUAUAUAAUUAAUAUGAUUACUACGCAAUAGUUUCAAUUUCUAUAAACAACAUAAUAAGAAAAGAAAAAGUUGAACACCAAUAUGAUAACCACACAAUAUUUAGGAAAAAACAAGUCAAACAUAUCUAACCAAUUUUAUAGGAUUACCGUGAAAAAAUGCAUUACUAGUUACAUUAUUCUAUCUAUAUAUUAAUUUCCAUCUUAAAUAAAAAUUUCAAUCAUCAAACUAAUAAAUUUAAAAGUAAAAACUCUAAUAAAUGUGUUUUCAUCGUAAAAAUAUCACGAAAAACGAUAUGUCUUUAUUACAGUACGCUAUUUUUUGCAUAAUCUUGAUUGCUUUAUUUCCUCUUCAUGAUUUUGUUGGUGGCCAAGGUCUUAAAGCGGGCAACCAACCUAACUCAUUUUGCUCACCAAUCCCUUGCGACACUAAAGACAAAACUCGCAGUUG